rnacentral:lncRNA from 1 species
GAGUUUUUGCAGAUUUUCAAAUAAAACUCAGAGAUUCCUUUGUAUGACUCUCUCAUAUCUCUCUUUUGUGGUAUUUCUGGAUCCUUACCAAGGAAAUGAUGGUAUAUGCCUUCUCUCAAAAUAUGUGGUAUUUGUGGUAUAAGGCAUAGUGACAUUGCCUUCUCUCUCACCCUACUUUAAUAAGGCUUUAAUAUCUGGAGCUCAUAGGUGGGAGAUAAGGUAUACAUACUUACAAGACAUUUAUUGUAUAGUCAAACCAUGGAUCCAAAGAAACAAAUCAAUAAGCCAAAUCAAGAUGUGCUUGUGUGGCGAAUGAAUGGUGUAUAGUGAUGAUGGUGAUAACAAUGGUGAAAGUCUAAUUCUACUUUUGCUCUUAUGAGGGGAUACAUACCUUCCUUGCUUUUUGAAACUUUAUGAGGAGAAUGAGAUGCUCUUCUUUUUCUUUCCUCUCAGGUGGGUAUCUUGUACCCCUAAUUCUACUGUCGGACACUUGUCCAUUUUUACCACUCGUCUCACUUUUUCUUUCUUUCGAGGUUCCGGGCACUUGCCCCUUUUUAUUUCCUCGUUUAUUAUUAUUUUUUUUUCUUUUCUUCUCUCUUCUUUUCUUCUUUUUUUUCAGAGCACUCAUCUCCUGAAAUAAUGUAGCAAGUGGUAGUAACCAAAAUAAUUGGAGCAUUUAUUUCACAGGGAAUAACAGGGAUAGGAAAAUGUUUUUGGCUAUUCUCUCCCGGAUUAGGAGUAGAAUGAUUUUGGGUGAAACUGGAGAUGGAAAUGGAUGGAUAUAUGUGGAUGGUACUUCCGAAGUAGAAGUAGCAUAUAUGAGUGAACGUGCAAGUGAAUCUUGAUUUAACCACAUGACAAGCUCUUAAGGGUCUACACAGCUUGACCACACUCAAUGCUCAUAAGCAGUAAAUAAAUAUGUGGCUCAAAGUCUAGCAAGCAUGUAUAUAUGGCUGUGGUAGGAAUUUAAACUUUCAUCAUACAGGAACUCAUCAUGCAAUAUUUUAAAGAUUUUCAAAGAUAAAAUUCUCCAGAAUUCUAGCAUCUCUAGGAAUAGAUAAACAGCAGCUCAACCUUCCCAUAUCAUAUCCGUUAACAACUUAGAUUUCAGAUCAAGUUUUCAUCCCACAAGUUUAGAUCUAGAGCAAGCUUUAAAUUAUAACAGUUAUGUCUAAACUUGAGAGAGAACUUCAAAUUUGCAAAUUAGGCAGAGCAACUAUUUAUCAUAUCCAUGCUAGAGUUUUAUUAUUAAGAUUCAGAUUAGCAUAGCCACUUUAUUUAUUUAUUAAACACACUAAGCAAAAGAUAUAUAUAUAAGCACAAAAUCUUUAUUUGGUUUUUCAUAGUUUAUGUAUUUUAAUAUUCUAAUAUAAGUAUAAAGAUAGGUAGAAAUACUUAGCGAGAUAAGUGGGGGUGCUCUCCCCCAAGCUGAAUUUUGACGUAAUUUCUCUUGAUGUAGCUAGCAGGUGGCAGAGGUGUAUUUGAAAGUCAGCAGCAUUCUGACAGCGAUUAGAAUGUCCUCCGUCUGCUAGUUUUCUUGAUUCUUAAAUUCUGUGGAGCUCAAAUAGACAACAAAGCUUGUGAAACUAAUUAAGUGUUAGCAUAAAUAUCUAGGCCUUGUUUACUUCCCAGAAAAUUUUGCAAAAUUUUUCACAUUCCCCGUCACAUCGAAUCUUUAGACGCAUGCAUGGAGCAUUAAAUAUAGACGAAAAUAAAAACUAAUUGCACAGUUUGGUCGAAAUUGACGAGACGAAUCUUUUGAGCCUACUUAGUCCAUGAUUGGACAAUAUUUGUCAAAUACAAACGAAAAUGCUACAGUGUCCAUUUCCCAAAAUUUUUCGGAACUAAACAAGGCCCUAGCCUUCAUCACGUUGAGCUUCCUCAAUAAAUAUUACUCCCUGUUUUUAUAUUUUUAUUUUAUAAAGUAGAAAAGAAAUAUUUAUUUUAUUUUUAUGCCACCACAGUGAAGGUACUUAUGGGUUUUACGCCACUCGUAUACUCACAUGGGGCUUAGUAUUUUUUAACAUUUUUAUUUUCUUUUCAAGAUAGCAUGAUUAACUAAUAAUCUAUUUAAGGAAAGUAAAUAAUUAAAGGGAAAAGGGAAUGCAGAAAGGAUAAAUAUGGAUAACUACCAAUCUUACCUUUCGGCCAGGGUUCAAUGUUUUAAGUCUUCUUGACAAGACUUCUCACCGUGUUCAUUCUUCAGGUGCGUCAUUUGAUUCAGGUGCGGACCUUGACGUCUGCACCUUUUAAUACGGUGUCACCUAUGUUCUUUGUUUGCCCAGCUGUUCGAAGUGCGGUGUUAGCAGUAUCUUGCUCAGUGUGUUUGUGCUCGUAGUGUAUCUGCUCAUAGAGACAAGGCAGAGAUCAAGUGCAUGGGCCCUGUUGGUGGAAAACACCAACAGAACCAAAAGUGUAUUUGUUCUUCUCUAACCUUAAGCAUAGUGAGCAAGACAAGUUGAUGGAUGAUAAGUUCAUGAGUAUAGCACUUAUAACAAUUGUCAGAUCAGAUCACUCAACCUUAUGGAAAGAUAAUCUAUCUAUGUAUAUGUCUUUUUCUUUAUAUCUCUCAAUGAUUGAAUGUGUAACAUUUUAGCUCAUAUGAUUAGGAGUGUGGGAUCAUGGAGGUAGUACUAAGAACAAGGAUUAAAGGACUAAACAUGUUGAAUCAGUUGGGUUGGUUAAUCUAGAGUUGUAAAUCAUACACGUUUGUCUCUUUUAUUUAUAUGAAUGCCAGAACCAAGGAGAAGCUUAUAAAAGUGAUAGUCAAGUACCUUAAGAUGUUACCUUGCUCGAAGAGUGAUGGUACAGUAUCAUCUUGUGGAAGCUUUCCUUUCUUAGCGGUUGUGCGUCUUGUUUAUGUACUUUGUCUCCUUCCAUGGAUCAUCUCUGUAUGGUGAAUGAGCUAUGUCCUUCUUGUGCGAAUUGUUAAACUUCAUGUGUUGCUCUCUUCAUCUCUGAUGUGAGUUUAUCUCAGGACUUCCCAAAUUGAUAUUGAAAGUUUUUCUGCAGGGGUUAGUCCGACAAAAUAUACCAAUAUCUACUCAAGCAGUUUUUUAGUUCAAUAACCAAACUAGACGCCAUGUCUAAUCAGAUUAAGGAAGGCUAUUUAACCUAAGCACCAUGCUUAAUUUAAAUGCCAAUGGAAGUAUGGCGAGUACUUCCAAACCAACACUUGCUAGUAAAUAGACAAAGGUAGCAUGACAGCGUUUAUAGAGAUCUACUCAAGUGGAGAUGAAGUAGUGUGAUUAGUAUUUAACAAAUUGAGCAUGUCUCAAAGGUAGGGACAACCAGCAUAGCAACAUGGCAAAGGAUGUUUUUAUGUAAAGUACUCCCCCAAGCUUGAAUUUUGCAAAAUUCAAGUUUGGAUGAAUUUAAUUCAAUGUUGUAUGAUGAUUGGUUGGACAUACCUUGUGCUUGUCAUUCAUCCGAUCUUCUUGCUCCAAUCUUAGAAAGGUUAGUGACAAGAAUACCCGAAGGAAUAUUUUUUUUUACAAUUAUCCUUAUAUGCUUAAUACACAAGGUAAUGUUGCAAAUAAUUAAAGGCUCAUGUUACGAUCUGAUCAAUGCUUAUUUUAAGACACUAAGCUUGUCCUUGGGAAACCAUCAGUUUAUGUUGGCGAAGUGGUUUCCCCUCCGACGCCAACCUAUUUCUAGAUCAACUCAACGAGAUCUGCAAUAUUUAUUAUAGACAUAUGCAUCGACAACCGCCCUUUUAAAGUUUUUAUAAAUAGAAAGGAAGAGGGGGUUGGAGAUCUCAAGUGUGGUGAUGUCGGAGAGACCAAUAGAUUGGGAAGAUGUUGCAUAUGAGCAUGGAGUAAACAAAGUGGCUAUGAAAUAAAUUCCAUGCUCAUUAAUGUUAUCUUCGUCUCCAAUCUGAAUGUUCAGAGUUUCUCCUAGAUUGGUCUCACCUAUGUCCUCUUCUGUAGUUGGAUGAAUCUCAUCUUCAAAAGGAGUCAAGAACUCACCAUUUGAAAUUGAGCCAAAGUCAGAACCCAUUAAGGCUUCUUCCUUAUCCAUCCAUUCUACACAUUCUAGCCAUUUAGAACUUGUGAUCAAAAUAGGGGAGGUGUUAGAAUUUUCUAUAUGGCUUAGCUCUCCUUCACUUGAUAUGUCAUCCUCGACUUCUUCAUGAUAGGAACCAGGACAUUCUCUAAGAGAAACAUUAUUGCAAUGAUUUGAAUUAUCCCUGCUUGAAGGUCUCUUAUAAAACCAGAAGUCUAAACCAUCAGCAUCUAAAAGAUUUAAGGUCGGAAUUCCUUCCUCCCUUGGAGAAUUUUGGGGUAUUGAAGGUUUAGGAUCGAUAGCUAAAGUUCGGGAUUGAAGUGGUUGUGAUCUGGCUAUCGAAACUUCUUCUUCUUGUCUAGGAACUGGUUCUUUCUCUUUCUCAGGGAUAUAAAAGCUAGGAGACUUUCCGCUCAUUAAAUCAAUCAAAUUCCAAGCUUCACUAGCGGAUAGGUGGUGGAAGGAUCCUCCAGAGGCCGCAUGAAGGGUUUGCUUAUUUUCCCUACUAAGGCCCUCAAAAAAGUGAAUUAGAAGAACUUCUUCUGGAAUAGAAAGUUUUGGGCCAGUGAGAGUAAGGUUAAUAAAGCGGUCCCAUGAUUUGCCAAGAGAUUCUUCUUCCAGUUGUCUAAAAGAAAGAAUCUCACGCCGAAGUUCCACCACUUUGGAGAUUGGAAAACAUUUAGAAAGAAAACUACUAUAUAACUCCUUCCAAUCUCCAUGAACACUCCCUACUUUGAGUUUAUACCAAUGUCUAGCUUUUCCCGUUAAAGAGAACGGAAAGAGCUUCCAUUUAAGGGUCUCAUCGGACAUGCCUUCUAUGCGAAGGAGGUCACAGACUCGAUAAAACUCUCUUAGGUGUGUGUAUGGGUUUUCCUCACCUUCUCCUGAGAAAGGUUGUUUUUGAAUAAAUUCUAUGUAUUCGGGGUCUAUCUCAAAACUAGAUGCUAUGAUAGGCUUUGAAGAUUUUGGUGGUUCGAGAUGUGUGCCCAUAGGUCUAUGAAAUUCAUAGAUAGACAUGUUUGAAUUCAUAAUAGACCAGAGAUCAAGGAUUAGAUAAGAAGAAAGAAUAGCAGAGAUGAGGCAAAGGAUAAAAGGAAAAUAUUUUUAUUAUUAUUUUUUUUAUAAAAUGAUUAAACUAGUUCGUAGUCAACUCAGCAACCGUUUCCCCGGCAACGGCGCCAAAAAUGCUUGUUGACACUUGCUAACACCACUUGAAUACUAGGUUGUCAUCCCCAGCAUGGCACUAGAGUGUACUAUGGUAUUUAUACGCACACAGAUAAUCCGCAAGCGCACGGAUACCGUUGAAGCUUUUACCCGGUUAAAGAUUUUAUCGUAUCCACAGGGAAACGGGAGAACUGAUCUACGCUCUAACUUAACCAAGAUAAGUAAAUAGGUGUGAAUAGGAAAGAUGGUAGAAUCGAAUAAGAACAAUAUUAAAGGUAAGAUAACAGUGAGUGAUAAUAUGGGAAUAGAGAGUAGAGCAAUUCUAGUAUAUGGGCGAUGGUAGCAGAAUAGAGAGGAUAACUAUGGUUUCUCUACUUCAAAGGGGUAUGUCUAUGUCUGGGACGAACCGCGUGAUAAGAGUACACCACAAAGGAUGCUUAUCCAUAGGCCGAUAAACCCUACCCGUCCUGCUAACGAGAGGUGGACUACAGGGGACCAACGUAACUGUCACCUACGCGGCCUACCACACGAUCCAGCUAGCCAGGGGAUAUCCACAAGUAAUCUAGGUCUAAGCACCACGCUUACACCUAUACUACAACUCUAACCUAUAGGGUCCUAUAGAUUAGAAGUACUCAAAAGAGUUGUGAACCAGAACAUACAUGAUUAGUAAUUGCAUAAUGAAUUAGAAGUAGAUUACCAGAGUCAUCCCAUGAGCAAGCUUGAUUAGAGCUUGAUCAUGACGAAGUACAACCGGAGGAAGAACCGACAGGCCGGCCUCUCCUCUAAUCCUCCUUCGCUCUCCAUCUCGCUACUAUCUAGAUCUACUCUAGUUUAGAGAAGAGAGGAGAGCUCUCAUCUCUAAACCCUAGGUUUUGCUCUGUCUAUGAAUAAUGAAUAAUGAUCAAGGGGUGCCUCUUCUAGGGGCCAGGGGGUCUACUUUUAUAGUCCCCUCAAGUGAACCUGGGCCGUCGGAUCAAACCGACAUUGAUUGAACGGUUAUUCUUGAUCCUUUAGGUCGGUGGAGCAUAAUCCGCGAGAUUGAGCAUGAUUGGCCGAAAAAGGUGGGCGGGCGCCCUAAGGACUUGGGCGGGCGCCCUGUCCCUGACUCCGUUCGGUCUCCGCUUCCUUCCCGUGGCUUCUGGAGUCUUCUAGAUGUAAUAUAAUUGCGCGGCACGUUGAUAUCUCUAUGUAAUCCCGACGUGUGGGUCUUUCUUCCUUAUUUCCUGAUAAUCCCCUGCAGAAAUAGACAAACACCAAAACUCGUGGAAUUCUGUCAGAUAAAACCCUAAGUCUUGAUGUUGAUUUCAUUUGGAUCCUUUUCUUUGUUUAUUUGAUAGUUAAAUUUGAUACUUAAGGACCGUCAACAAACUCCCCCAAGCUUACCUCUUGCUCGUCCCUGAGCAAGGAUAGACUCAGCAAUGGAUCAGAAGUUGUUGCAAUAUCUUAAAAAUUUGACGGUAGACAUGCUUUUUAAAUAAGUUCUCAUCUCUGAGUUAGAGUAAACUGUCAAGAACUAAAACUUACUUACUUUACCUUUCACCAUGGGACUUGUAACCGUCACUUCUGUCUUGAGUAGUUAAAAGAUAGAACAGUCUAGCCAAGUGCCAUGUCUCUUAUUCUUGAUCACCUAUAGCUCUGGAGUUUUUGCAGAUUUUCAAAUAAAACUCAGAGAUUCCUUUGUAUGACUCUCUCAUAUCUCUCUUUUGUGGUAUUUCUGGAUCCUUACCAAGGCAGUGAUGGUAUAUGCCUUCUCUCAAAAUAUGUGGUAUUUGUGGUAUAAGGCAUAGUGACAUUGCCUUCUCUCUCACCCUACUCUAAUAAGGCUUUAAUAUCUGGAGCUCAUAGGUGGGAGAUAAGGUAUACAUACUUACAAGACAUUUAUUGUAUAGUCAAACCAUGGAUCCAAAGAAACAAAUCAAUAAGCCAAAUCAAGAUGUGCAUGUGUGGCGAAUGAAUGGUGUAUAGUGAUGAUGGUGAUAACAAUGGUGAAAGUCUAAUUCUACUUUUGCUCUUAUGAGGGGAUACAUACAUUUCCUUUCUUUUUGAAACUUUAUGAGGAGAAUGAGAUGCUCUUCUUUUUCUUUCCUCUCAGGUGGGUAUCUUGUACCCCUAAUUCUACUGUCGGACACUUGUCCAUUUUUACCACUCGUCUCACUUUUUCUUUCUUUCGAGGUUCCGGGCACUUGCCCCUUUUUAUUUCCUCGUUUAUUAUUAUUUUUUUCUUUUCUUCUCUCUUGUUUUCUUCUUUUUUUUUCAGAGCACUCAUCUCCUAAAAUAAUGUAGCAAGUGGUAGUAACCAAAAUAACUGGAGCAUUUAUUUCACAGGGAAUAACAGGGAUAGGAAAAUGUUUUUGGCUAUUCUCUCCCGGAUUAGGAGUAGAAUGAUUUUGGGUGAAACUGGAGAUGGAAAUGGAUGGAUAUAUGUGGAUGGUACUUCCGAAGUAGAAGUAGCAUAUAUGAGUGAACGUGCAAGUGAAUCUUGAUUUAACCACAAGACAAGCUCCUAAGGGUCUACACAGCUUGACCACACUCAAUGCUCAUAAGCAGUAAAUAAAUGUGUGGCUCAAAGUCUAGCAAGCAUGUAUAUAUGGCUGUGGUAGGAAUUUAAACUUUCAUCAUACAGGAACUCAUCAUGCAAUAUUUUAAAGAUUUUCAAAGAUAAAAUUCUCCAGAAUUCUAGCAUCUCUAGGAAUAGAUAAACAGCAGCUCAACCUUCCCAUAUCAUAUCUGUUAACAACUUAGAUUUCAGAUCAAGUUUUCAUCCCACAAGUUUAGAUCUAGAGCAAGCUUUAAAUUAUAACAGUUAUGUCUAAACUUGAGAGAGAACUUCAAAUUUGCAAAUUAGGCAGAGCAACUAUUUAUCAUAUCCAUGCUAGAGUUUUAUUAUUAAGAUUCAGAUUAGCAUAGCCACUUUAUUUAUUUAUUAAACACACUAAGCAAAAGAUAUAUAUAUAAGCACAAAAUCUUUAUUUGGUUUUCAUAGUUUAUGUAUUUUAAUAUUCUAAUAUAAGUAUAAAGAUAGGUAGAAAUACUUAGCGAGAUAAAUGGGGGUGCUCUCCCCCAAGCUGAAUUUUGACGUAAUUUCUCUUGAUGUAGCUAGCAGGUGGCAGAGGUGUAUUUGAAAGUCAGCAGCAUUCUGACAGCGAUUAGAAUGUCCUCCGUCUGCUAGUUUUCUUGAUUCUUAAAUUCUGUGGAGUUCAAAUAGACAACAAAGCUUGUGGAACUAAUUAAGUGUUAGCAUAAAUAUCUAGCCUUCAUCACGUUGAGCUUCCUCAAUAAAUAUUACUCCCUGUUUUUAUAUUUUUAUUUUAUAAAGUAGAAAAGAAAUAUUUAUUUUAUUUUUAUGCCACCACAGUGAAGGUACUUAUGGGUUUUAUGCCACUCGUAUACUCACAUGGGGCUUAGUAUUUUUUAACAUUUUUAUUUUCUUUUCAAGAUAGCAUGAUUAACUAAUAAUCUAUUUAAGGAAAGUAAAUAAUUAAAGGGAAAAGGGAAUGCAGAAAGGAUAAAUAUGGAUAACUACCAAUCUUACCUUUCGGCGAGGGUUCAAUGUUUUAAGUCUUCUUGACAAGACUUCUCACCGUGUUCAUUCUUCAGGUGCGUCAUUUGAUUCAGGUGCGGACCUUGACGUCUGCACCUUUUAAUACGGUGUCACCUAUGUUCUUCGUUUGCCCAGCAGUUCGAAGUGCGGUGUUAGCAGUAUCUUGCUCAGUGUGUUUGUGCUCGUAGUGUACCUGCUCAUAGAGACAAGGCAGAGAUCAAGUGCAUGGGCCCUGUUGGUGGAAAACACCAACAGAACCAAAAGUGUAUUUGUUCUUCUCUAACCUUAAGCAUAGUGAGCAAGACAAGUUGAUGGAUGAUAAGUUCAUGAGUAUAGCACUUAUAACAUUUGUCAGAUCAGAUCACUCAACCUUAUGGAAAGAUAAUCUAUCUAUGUAUAUGUCUUUUUCUUUAUAUCUCUCAAUGAUUGAAUGUGUAACAUUUUAGCUCAUAUGAUUAGGAGUGUGGGAUCAUGGAGGUAGUACUAAGAACAAGGAUUAAAGGACUAAACAUGUUGAAUCAGUUGGGUUGGUUAAUCUAGAGUUGUAAAUCAUACACGUUUGUCUCUUUUAUUUAUAUGAAUGCCAGAACCAAGGAGAAGCUUAUAAAAGUGAAAGUCAAGUACCUUAAGAUGUUACCUUGCUCGAAGAGUGAUGGUACAGUAUCAUCUUGUGGAAGCUUUCCUUUCUUAGCGGUUGUGCGUCUUGUUUAUGUACUUUGUCUCCUUCCAUGGAUCAUCUCUGUAUGGUGAAUGAGCUAUGUCCUUCUUGUGCAAAUUGUUAAACUUCAUGUGUUGCUCUCUUCAUCUCUGAUGUGAGUUUAUCUCAGGACUUCCCAAAUUGAUAUUGAAAGUUUUUCUGCAGGGGUUAGUCCGACAAAAUAUACCAAUAUCUACUCAAGUAGUUUUUUAGUUCAAUAACCAAACUAGACUCCAUG